rnacentral:rRNA from 1 species
UUGAACGCUGGCGGCAGGCCUAACACAUGCAAGUCGAGCGGAUGAAGGGAGCUUGCUCCUGGAUUCAGCGGCGGACGGGUGAGUAAUGCCUAGGAAUCUGCCUGGUAGUGGGGGAUAACGUCCGGAAACGGGCGCUAAUACCGCCUACGUCCUGAGGGAGAAAGUGGGGGAUCUUCGGACCUCACGCUAUCAGAUGAGCCUAGGUCGGAUUAGCUAGUUGGUGGGGUAAAGGCCUACCAAGGCGACGAUCCGUAACUGGUCUGAGAGGAUGAUCAGUCACACUGGAACUGAGACACGGCCCAGACUCCUACGGGAGGCAGCAGUGGGGAAUUUUGGACAAUGGGGGAAAGCCUGAUCCAGCCAUGCCGCGUGUGUGAAGAAGGUCUUCGGAUUGUAAAGCACUUUAAGUUGGGAGGAAGGGCAAUAAGUUAAUACCUUGCUGUUUUGACGUUACCAACAGAAUAAGCACCGGCUAACUUCGUG